UACAGGGGGGGCAAGCGUUGUUCGGAAUUACUGGGCGUAAAGGGCUCGUAGGUGGCCAACUAAGUCACACGUGAAAUCCCUCGGCUCAACCGGGGAACUGCGUCUGAUACUGGGUGGCUUGAAUCCGGGAGAGGGAUGCGGAAUUCCAGGUGUAGCGGUGAAAUGCGUAGAUAUCUGGAGGAACACCGGUGGCGAAGGCGGCCCUCUGGUCCAGUACUGACACUCAAGUGCGAAAGCGUGGGGAGCAAACAGG
rnacentral:rRNA from 1 species